AGUGAACGCUGGCGGUAGACCUAACACAUGCAAGUCGAACGGCAGCACAGUAAGAGCUUGCUCUUACGGGUGGCGAGUGGCGGACGGGUGAGGGAUACAUCGGAAUCUACUUUUUCGUGGGGGAUAACGUAGGGAAACUUACGCUAAUACCGCAUACGACCUACGGGUGAAAGCAGGGGAUCUUCGGACCUUGCGCGAUUGAAUGAGCCGAUGUCGGAUUAGCUAGUUGGCGGGGUAAAGGCCCACCAAGGCGACGAUCCGUAGCUGGUCUGAGAGGAUGAUCAGCCACACUGGAACUGAGACACGGUCCAGACUCCUACGGGAGGCAGCAGUGGGGAAUAUUGGACAAUGGGCGCAAGCCUGAUCCGGCCAUACCGCGUGGGUGAAGAAGGCCUUCGGGUUGUAAAGCCCUUUUGUUGGGAAAGAAAAGCAGCAGGUUAAUACCCCGCUGUUCUGACGGUACCCAAAGAAUAAGCACCGGCUAACUUCGUG
rnacentral:rRNA from 1 species